rnacentral:rRNA from 1 species
AUUGAACGCUGGCGGCAGGCCUAACACAUGCAAGUCGAGCGAGCGGCGGACGGGUGAGUAAUGUCUGGGAAACUGCCUGAUGGAGGGGGAUAACUACUGGAAACGGUAGCUAAUACCGCAUACCAUCAGAUAUGCCCAGAUGGGUGUAGCUCGUAGGUGGGGUAACGGCUCACCUAGGCGACGAUCCCUAGCUGGUCUUAGAGGAUGACCAGACACAACGGAACUGAUACAACGUCCAGACUCAUACGGAAGGCAGGUGUGGGUCAUAGUGGACAAUGGGUGCAAGUUUGAUGAAACCACGCGGCGUGUGUGACGAAGGCCUUCGGGUUGUAAAGAACUUUCAGCGAGGAGGCGUUACCCGCAGACGAAGAACCGGCUAACUCCGUGCCAGCAGCCGCAGUAACAC